rnacentral:rRNA from 1 species
UACGUAGGUGGCAAGCGUUGUCCGGAUUUAUUGGGUUUAAAGGGUGCGUAGGCGGUCUAUUAAGUCAGCGGUGAAAUACUCCAGCUUAACUGGAGGGGUGCCAUUGAUACUGAUGGACUUGAGUCAAGUCGAGGUAGGCGGAAUUGACGGUGUAGCGGUGAAAUGCGCAGAUAUUGGGAGGAACACCAGCGGCGAAGGCGGCACUCUGGGCUGGUAUUGACGCUGAGGAGCGAAAGCGUGGGUAGCGAACAGG